rnacentral:rRNA from 1 species
UACAGAGGGGGCAAGCGUUGUUCGGAAUUACUGGGCGUAAAGGGUGCGUAGGCGGCCAACUAAGUCAAACGUGAAAUCCCUCGGCUUAACCGGGGAACUGCGCUUGAUACUGGAUGGCUUGAGAUUGGGAGAGGGAUGCGGAAUUCCAGGUGUAGCGGUGAAAUGCGUAGAUAUCUGGAGGAACACCGGUGGCGAAGGCGGCAUCCUGGACCAACACUGACGCUGAGGAGCGAAAGCCAGGGGAGCAAACGGG